rnacentral:lncRNA from 1 species
CGACUGCUUGUCGAAGUCCUUUUUGCCCUAGCCGGUAGGUCUCUAGACGUUACAGAGAACCCCGAACAACCCAAUCUGCUAAUCUUCGAUACCGCUUUGUACUUACGAUCUUGUAUCCACUGACUGUCUUGUUAGAUUAACCCAAUAAAUUUCAUUCACUCCGCAUACUCAAUCCUAUAGACACCCUUUUAAUUCUUCAAUCACAGACGUAACUCAAUUUCACAAAACAGUCAAGAGU